UACGUAGGGUGCGAGCGUUGUCCGGAAUUAUUGGGCGUAAAGAGCUUGUAGGCGGUUUGUCGCGUCUGCCGUGAAAAUCCGGGGCUCAACCCCGGACUUGCGGUGGGUACGGGCAGACUAAGAGUGGUGGUAGGGGAGACUGGAAUUCCUGGUGUAGCGGUGAAAUGCGCAGGAUAAUCAGGAGGAACACCGAUGGCGAAGGCAGGUCUCUGGGCCACUACUGACGCUGAGACGCGAAAGCGUGGGGAGCAAACAGG
rnacentral:rRNA from 1 species